UCCUACGGGAGGCAGCAGUGGGGAAUUUUGGACAAUGGGCGAAAGCCUGAUCCAGCAAUGCCGCGUGUGUGAAGAAGGCCUUCGGGUUGUAAAGCACUUUUGUCCGGAAAGAAAUCCUUGGCUCUAAUACAGUCGGGGGAUGACGGUACCGGAAGAAUAAGCACCGGCUAACUACGUGCCAGCAGCCGCGGUAAUACGUAGGGUGCGAGCGUUAAUCGGAAUUACUGGGCGUAAAGCGUGCGCAGGCGGUUUGCUAAGACCGAUGUGAAAUCCCCGGGCUCAACCUGGGAACUGCAUUGGUGACUGGCAGGCUAGAGUAUGGCAGAGGGGGGUAGAAUUCCACGUGUAGCAGUGAAAUGCGUAGAGAUGUGGAGGAAUACCGAUGGCGAAGGCAGCCCCCUGGGCCAAUACUGACGCUCAUGCACGAAAGCGUGGGGAGCAAACAGGAUUAGAUACCCUGGUAGUCCACGCCCUAAACGAUGUCAACUAGUUGUUGGGGAUUCAUUUCCUUAGUAACGUAGCUAACGCGUGAAGUUGACCGCCUGGGGAGUACGGUCGCAAGAUUAAAACUCAAAGGAAUUGACGGGGACCCGCACAAGCGGUGGAUGAUGUGGAUUAAUUCGAUGCAACGCGAAAAACCUUACCUACCCUUGACAUGGUCGGAAUCCUGCUGAGAGGUGGGAGUGCUCGAAAGAGAACCGGCGCACAGGUGCUGCAUGGCUGUCGUCAGCUCGUGUCGUGAGAUGUUGGGUUAAGUCCCGCAACGAGCGCAACCCUUGUCCUUAGUUGCUACGCAAGAGCACUCUAAGGAGACUGCCGGUGACAAACCGGAGGAAGGUGGGGAUGACGUCAAGUCCUCAUGGCCCUUAUGGGUAGGGCUUCACACGUCAUACAAUGGUCGGAACAGAGGGUUGCCAACCCGCGAGGGGGAGCUAAUCCCAGAAAACCGAUCGUAGUCCGGAUUGCACUCUGCAACUCGAGUGCAUGAAGCUGGAAUCGCUAGUAAUCGCGGAUCAGCAUGCCGCGGUGAAUCCGUACCCGGGCCUUGUACACACCG
rnacentral:rRNA from 1 species